GAAACCCAAUGGGAAGGUGCAUUGCUUUGGCAAGCGUGACCAUUCCAUCAAAAGGAACCCUAAUGUCCCAGUGGUGGUGAGAGGAUGGCUCUAUAAACAGGACAGCUCAGGCAUGAGACUGUGGAAGAGGAAAUGGUUUGUGUUGUCUGAUUACUGCCUGUUUUACUAUAAAGAUAGUCGAGAGGAGACGGCUCUGGGCAGCAUUCCUCUGCCCAGCUAUGUCAUUUCCCCCGUGGGACCCGAGGACCACAUCAGCCGCAAGUACACCUUCAAGGUAAGAGCGUCAUGAUAAUCUGCACUCUAAUGCUACUCUGUUCCUGUGUGUAGGCUCAGCUUCACUGGCUUCAUUGGCUACGCCCUCAAGAUGUCUGUGUCAUGGGGCAUAUUAUCAGUUGUGUUGUGUGGGCAGCAGUCAGGGAUGACUAAUUAAUGUGGCAGUUGUUUGGCUCCUCUCUCUGCCCUCUU